rnacentral:sRNA from 1 species
UCCACCGCGACGGGUUGCCGAGAGCCGCCUCCGGCGGCGCCGUGACGCAACUUGACGUGU